rnacentral:rRNA from 1 species
CGUGAGCAAUCUGCCUUGGAGUGGGGAAUAACGGUUGGAAACAGCCGCUAAUACCGCAUGAUGCGUCUGGGAGGCAUCUCUCUGGACGCCAAAGAUUUAUCGCUCUGAGAUGAGCUCGCGUCUGAUUAGCUAGUUGGCGGGGCAACGGCCCACCAAGGCGACGAUCAGUAGCCGGACUGAGAGGUUGGCCGGCCACAUUGGGACUGAGACACGGCCCAGACUCCUACGGGAGGCAGCAG